rnacentral:rRNA from 1 species
AGUGAACGCUGGCGGUAGGCCUAACACAUGCAAGUCGAACGGCAGCACAGUAAGAGCUUGCUCUUACGGGUGGCGGGUGGCGGACGGGUGAGGAAUACAUCGGAAUCUACUUUUUCGUGGGGGAUAACGUAGGGAAACUUACGUUAAUACCGCAUACGACCUACGGGUGAAAGCAGGGGAUCUUCGGACCUUGCGCGAUUGAAUGAGCCGAUGUCGGAUUAGCUAGUUGGCGGGGUAAAGGCCCACCAAGGCGACGAUCCGUAGCUGGUCUGAGAGGAUGAUCAGCCACACUGGAACUGAGACACGGUCCAGACUCCUACGGGAGGCAGCAGUGGGGAAUAUUGGACAAUGGGCGCAAGUCUGAUCCAGCCAUACCGCGUGGGUGAAGAAGGCCUUCGGGUUGUAAAGCCCUUUUGUUGGGAAAGAAAAGCAGCAGGUUAAUACCCCGCUGUUCUGACGGUACCCAAAGAAUAAGCACCGGCUAACUUCGUG